UACAGAGGUCUCGAGCGUUGUUCGGAUUCAUUGGGCGUAAAGGGUGCGUAGGUGGCGCUGUAAGUCGGGUGUGAAAUCCUGGGGCUUAACCCCGGAACUGCAUUCGAUACUGCAGUGCUUGAGGACUGGAGAGGAGACUGGAAUUCAUGGUGUAGCAGUGAAAUGCGUAGAUAUCGUAAGGAAGACCAGUGGCGAAAGGCGGGUCUCUGGACAGUUCCUGACGCUGAGGCACGAAGGUCAGGGGAGCAAACAGG
rnacentral:rRNA from 1 species